rnacentral:rRNA from 1 species
GACGAACCGUGCGAACGUUGUUCGGAAUCACUGGGCUUAAAGGGCGCGUAGGCGGGUUCGCAAGUCUGUGGUGAAAGCCCCCAGCUUAACUGGGGAAGUGCCGUGGAUACUGCGAGUCUUGAGGAGGGUAGGGGCAUCUGGAACGCUGGGUGGAGCGGUGAAAUGCGUUGAUAUCCAGCGGAACUCCGGUGGCGAAGGCGAGGUGCUGGACUUGUGGUGACGCUGAGACGCGAAAGCGUGGGUAGCAAACAGG